rnacentral:tRNA from 1 species
GGAGAGGUGGCAGAGUGGUAAUGCAGCAGCCUGCUAAGCUGUGACCGAUAUUUUUGGUCCCCGAGUUCGAAUCUCGGUCUCUCCGCAA